GAUUAGUUGUGAGAACGGAGGGGCGACUGUGGCUGCUUGAGCGGCUGACGGGUGUGCUUGUCAAAAAGCCUGAAAAUUAAAACGAGACAGGCUGUCAGCUGCUAUAUUACUAAUACCUGGUACAUGAAAGCAAACCAAGUAGAAGUUAUGACAUGCUGCCAACCACGUGAGUUUUCUAAGAAACCUCAUGAUUGUAAGGGAUGAUGAACGGC